CGCACGGACUAAAAAUCUAAAAAUCAUUCUCUCUCGAUCCAAUCUUUCGUUGCUAGGGUUUAAGUAUUUUGUAGGCUUUGAUCUUUUGAUCUCUCAGCGAUAAUGGUGUUUCGUCGCCAUCUCAGUACCGGUGAUCCUCUUUGUGCUAUCCAUGAUUCGCGCCCCUCACGUCGCCCGUUUGAGAGAGCCAAUUUUGAGGAAACUUGGAUGCAUUAUAAGAUGAGGAUUCAGAAGGCCAAGGAGACUCUUGACUCUGAAUCUGAAUCUGAAUCUCGUACUCAGGUAAGGUUAUAUUAUUACUAUUGUUUGUUUGCAAACCCUCCUUUGAAUAAUUUUUAAAACGGCUUGCUUAUUCAUUGAUUGAUUCUUAUAACUUGCAUUAGGGGAAACUGUCUGAGGCUACUACAACCUCCACGCCUCAGUCUAGCAUCCACCUCCGCGACGCUUUGAAGAAGAUGACUAAGAAGACUAAGAAGCUCGUGAUGAAAAGCAAAGCCCCUGCACUUAAGGCCUCCCUCCGUGAUGAUUAUUGACUACUUUCUCACUAGUGUACCUUCCCAAACCCACCAGUGCCCCUAAACAUCCCCUCUUUGGUUUCUCUUUUAUUGCAUCUCGAGCCUUAGAUGGACUUUUAACUUAAACAGCAUAUAUAAAAGGAUUAACCAUAGUUUUUACAUUAACAGAAACAUAAAGAAAAUUUCACAAAUCCCAAAUAUUGUCGUUUUCACGAGAAAAGGCGGGCUCCAUACAUUGCAAAACAGAAGCUACAUAAUAGAGAGAUAAGCAUAGGGAAA